ensembl:lncRNA
AGCAGUGGUAUGCCUGUGCAUGCAAGUCCAUCCGGGGUCUGACUAACUGUCUCACAAUGUCCACAUGGAACUUGUAAAGAUUUGCAAUAAUCCUUUAUUGAAACAAAACAGAGAACUUUACAGAUAGAAAUGGCUCAUACAGCAGGACCUUGGGAGGGGAGACAAGCCAAUGCAUAACUCUAUAUGGAGCAUACUUCCUUGUUACCAAUGCAGCGUGACUUGGCAGAAAAUGAGUCCAGAAUGUGUUACGAAAGAAAACAUCUGUUCAAUGCACAUAAGCUUAUAGAAAGACUCUUCUUCAAGUCAUGUGGGACAGGCCAUUGGAUCACUUGGGAAUUAAAACAGAAGAAAAAUGGACAAAGAUGCUAAGCACUCUUACAAUAGGUGGUUAACAUAUACUGCCCCAGACAACUUGCUAUCCUCUUACUAAUGAAAAUACUUACAUAAGACCAAGAGGAAAAGAAAUCCCAGGAAAUGGUGUGGAAGGCUCCCACGCUUGAUGCUAAUUCAGUAUCUCAACAGUAUAUAGACCCCUGGCAGCUUGGCCAGGUAAAACAUUAUUUCCAACUCCAGAUGUGUUUUUUCUUAUUCAAGUUUGCACUCAGUCUUUCAUUUCUGCUCCUUUCGUGAAAAUUGCAUAUCAAGUCAGUAUUACAUUCAACAGGCUAGCUGUUUCCAACAAAGAAGAAGGGAAACAAGAAAACUUCAUUUCCUGGGAAAGAUCUUUUUAAAGAAAGGCCCAUCCCAUUGGUAUAAAUCAAUGAAAAACAAGUGUACUCAUUUAACUAGUCAGAAAGUCCUAAUAUGUCAUCUUGUCAUGUGCAGUGCUCGGUUGCUUUAAUAGUGUUAUCCACUUCUCCUUUUAGAAAGGAGUUCAUUUCAGAGAGCUUGUAAAGUACAGUAUACUGAAUUAGAGGUUUCAUUAUUCACAGGGACCUGAAGAAAAAAGAAGGAUCUUUCCACACAUGAUUAAUACCUCAGCUGAAUACCAUGUGCUGGAUGUGGGCCAUUCAUCAGCAAUUUAACAUCUGUAAUCUGGCCAUGGCGAGUCACUGCUAACAUCAUGAACAAAUCAUGGAUGCUCUGCGGUCUUAACGUGGUUUAUGGGCCUUGCAUGAAAAGAAUGUGUGUUCAGCAUGUGGAGGAAGCUGGCAUGGCCUAAAUUAGAUGCAAAGGAACUCAUGAAAAGGAAUCUUGCCACUUAUUUAUUUAUUAAGUAGAUGUAUCUGAGGGCUGUUUGGGAAAAGUCCGCCUUUCUAACUUUCCCUAAUAAGGAAUGGUUAGAGCAUGGGAACCAUCAAGAUUU